GGGUGCAUGGCCUAAUGGUAAGGCGUCAGAUUUCGGUUGCUGUUUCCAUUACAGUUUCACUGUCCUCUGAAGAUUGCAGGUUCGAUCCCUGCUGUGCUCG